rnacentral:lncRNA from 1 species
UUUAGCAAUAUAAGUUAGAUCCACAUGGCAUUCAGAAAGAUGUAACACUUCUUCCAUGCCUACAAGGUGCUCGAUAGAAUGCUAGGGUUCCUUUUUAAAUUUAGUUGGAUUUGAAACUUGGCAGAAUGGAGUCUCAAUUGCUGCUAAAGGUUUGUAUGGUUGGUUUUAUGAUAGGGAAUACUUGCUAGUGCGAGUGUUGCAACAAUUCAGUUCUAACAUCAAAGUUGAGAGAGAUGCUUGGUGGGCACAAAAGAUGUCGUUGAGGUUGAUCUCUUGGACUUGAGUGUUUGGUUGGGAGGACUGCAAGAUGGAAAAUUUUCAGAAAUUAUAGAGCUAAUAAAAAUGGGUUGCAGUGAAAUGUUCAAACUAGACUGGAAAUGAAAAUUAGAUGACG